GCCGGGCAUGGUGGUGCAUGCCUGUAGUCCCAGCUACUCAGGAGGCUGAGGCAGGAGAAUCGUUUGAACCCGGGAGGCAGAGGUUGCAGUGAACCAAGAUCAUGCCCCUGCAUCCCAGCCUGGGUGACAGAGUGAGAUUCUGUCUCAA
rnacentral:SRP_RNA from 1 species